CACACACACACACACACACACACAUGCAAAAGUCAAAGUAAGAAGACAGAAAGAAAAAGUCCCUCAGAAAGAUAACAAAAUUGUGCUUGUCUUUUCUUUGGGGGGGAUCAAACAAGCACUGACAGCUCAGCCAUGUCACGACAGGUGGUCCAGGUCCAGCCGGAGAGCAGGGUUCAGGAGGCAGGUCAAUGGAGUACUGGCCUGUGUGAGUGCCAUAAAGACGUGGGUGACUGCUGCUUUGCCGUGUGCUGCCUCCCAGUGUUCACCUGUAAGGUGACCAGUGCAGUGGGUGCCUGUCCCUGUCUGCCUCUGCUGGACUGUAUCGGCUGUGUCCCACCGGCAUCUCUCGCCAUGAGGGCGUCUGUCAGGCAACGAUACGGCAUACGGUGGAGUGGAAUGGCCCCUGUAGCUGUGAUGUCGUGAUACACACUGUCUGGAACAAGGCAGCUGAUUGCACGCUGCACUGUGUGUCCCCAGCUCAAUUACCCAGAGCUGCUGGAGCUCUGGGUAAUUGUGAUUACUGCCGAGAAGAUGGAGACGUUUCAGGGAUGAAACACCGUAGCAGCACACAGGGGAAAUAGCUGCAACAUCAUGACCACCGGUUAUUACUUUAGAAAUGCAAACAACGUUUUCAGUCUAUGUAGUUGCGUUAGUUACAGCUUAGAUACUAUAUGCUGAGGACGCAGUGAGAUCAGGACACAAGGGAACGAUACAUUCAACUCUUCUGAGCCAAUACGAUUUUAAGUUCACGAUCCGAUUUGAUAUCAUACUUUUUGGACGAGCUGCAGACAAAUGACCUUUAUACAAAAUACAUAUAUUUUAGAUUCCUCAAAGUA